AAUUGCAGAAUCCCGUGAACCAUCGAGUCUUUGAACGCAAGUUGCGCCCGAAGCCAUUAGGCUGAGGGCACGUCUGCCUGGGCGUCACAGAUCGUUGCCCGAUGCCCAGUUGCCUAGCGAUAGGUGCUGGAAUUGUGCGGGGCGAACGGUGGCCUCCCGUGAGCGCUGCGCUGGCUCUCUCGGUUGGCUGAAAAUCGAGUCCACGGUGGGGUGCGCGCCACGGCAGAUGGUGGUUGAGUGACCCUCGAGACCAGUCGUGCGCCACCGCAGCCGAACCUGGCCUCCGUGACCCACGCGCGUCCUCGAACGCUCACAUGACGAGACCUCAGGUCAGGCGGGGCUACCCGCUGAGUUUA
rnacentral:rRNA from 1 species